GGUUCCAUGGUGUAAUGGUCAGCACUCUGGACUCCACAGAUCCAGCGAUCCGAGUUCAAAUCUCGGUGGGACCU